rnacentral:rRNA from 1 species
UACGAAGGGGGCUAGCGUUGCUCGGAAUGACUGGGCGUAAAGAGCGUGUAGGCGGCCAGGUAGGUCUGCUGUGAAAACUCGAGGCUCAACCUCGAGACGUCGGCGGAAACCAUCUGGCUAGAGUCCGGAAGAGGAGAGUGGAAUUCCUGGUGUAGCGGUGAAAUGCGCAGAUAUCAGGAAGAACACCCGUGGCGAAGGCGGCUCUCUGGGACGGUACUGACGCUGAGACGCGAAAGCGUGGGGAGCGAACAGG